AGUGAACGCUGGCGGUAGGCCUAACACAUGCAAGUCGAACGGCAGCACAGUAAGAGCUUGCUCUUACGGGUGGCGAGUGGCGGACGGGUGAGGAAUACAUCGGAAUCUACUUUUUCGUGGGGGAUAACGUAGGGAAACUUACGCUAAUACCGCAUACGACCUACGGGUGAAAGCAGGGGAUCUUCGGACCUUGCGCGAUUGAAUGAGCCGAUGUCGAAUUAGCUAGUUGGCGGGGUAAAGGCCCACCAAGGCGACGAUCCGUAGCUGGUCUGAGAGGAUGAUCAGCCACACUGGAACUGAGACACGGUCCAGACUCCUACGGGAGGCAGCAGUGGGGAAUAUUGGACAAUGGGCGCAAGCCUGAUCCAGCCAUACCGCGUGGGUGAAGAAGGCCUUCGGGUUGUAAAGCCCUUUUGUUGGGAAAGAAAAGCAGCAGGUUAAUACCCCGCUGCUCUGACGGUACCCAAAGAAUAAGCACCGGCUAACUUCGU
rnacentral:rRNA from 1 species